GCUUUUUCAAUAAGAACAAAAUUUUGACUAUAGUCAGAAUACAAAAUUGUAUCCUUUAUUUUUUGAGUUGAGAGGAGAAAUUGGUGAGAAAACCUGUCAAGUUGUGUUUGCAUAUUUUGACUGUUUCCUGCAGGGGAACACCAGCCAUGAGUGACAAAUCUUGGUACAGUGUUCAAGUUAAAGAUUCAUUACUUCAACCUCCUUCAGAUGAUGGAGGAAAUGCAACGAUGUGCAAAUCUCCCUUUCUGAAUUCAUGCCUCUGCGGACAACAUGAGAUUCAGAAACCGGGGAAAUCACGGUUUCAGAUUCCAUCUUGUGUCCAAUGUUUGCCACAAGUGCUCUUGCUGCGAAUGGGAUGAGAAUGGAUUUGGUUGUAUGUGUGGUUGCAGACAAUCUUCAGGCUGUGAACAAAGAGCCAUGCUCAAGAGUGCCAGACUAGAUUCUACCAAGUAGAAGCUCUUACCUGAGAUCUGGAAGAAAGAAUGAAAACAUUACUCAUUCUUUUAUCAGAACUGAACAAAUUAGAUGUUCCUAGGCGAACAUAGUACUUCGCAAAGAUCUUUCAGCCUUUUUCUAGAAAUCGCUUACCUGAGUACAGAAGGCAGGAGGGAUUGCUGCCAGCAGUUUCCCAAAUUGCUAGUAGUUUCUAUAAGUUUCAGAUUUUCUAAAAGUUAGCAGCAGAUCUGAGAGCUAGAAGCAGCUCGCACAGACCUUCAGGCUUAAGUCUGUCCCACGGUUUUGUAGCUAUCUAAUAAUAAUAAAUGUUUUACUUACUGAAAUAUUUUUGUAACUUCUCUUUUAUUAACUGAACUCUGGCUGAUAGACUAACUAGAGUUCCAUUAUAACUAUCUAUUUAUUUGCUACCCAAUGGAAAAUUUGUAUUAAAUAUUUCUGAUGCAGUAUCUUGACAUAAUGACAUGAUAAUUGAUCUCUCCACUUGUUUAAAUUAAGAAUUUCCAAUAGCUUAUAUUAUACCGAGAUGAGUUUUUUAAAUCCCUCAUUUUUUAUAGAUUUUCUGUGAAUUGGAGGAAAAUUUUAUUUAAAAGCACAUGCAGCCAGUAAACUAGUGGUAAUAGGCAGAACAGUAUAAUAUUAAAUGACCUGAGUCAGACAAACUCAGUUGCUUAUGUGUGUGUGCAUGCAUGUGUGCACAAAUUAUGAGUAAUUGCUCACCAAACCCCUCUAUAUCCAAUGUCUCUUACACCCACUUCUAUGAGGAAAGGGAGGGUAAGCCAGCAUGAUAUACCUGAAAGUACUUAUUUUCCUAGCUGAGUUAGAAACAAGUAUAUUUCUCUGACUAUUUCAGUUGUUCACUGUAAAAAUUAUUAACCACUUCAAAACUAUCCAUUUUAUAGUCUUAAAUUCACCUGCAUCCUUUCUUGGAUCUUGCAUAAAGUUGGGACCCUAAACAGGAGCUAGAUCUCUCCACAAUCCCAUUUCCACCUACACAAUUCACGUCCUCCCUGAACAAUACAGACUUUUGUGGUACAAACACCCCAUCUCCCAUUUCUGUGAACUCUGCUAGUACUUAUAAUCAUUAACCAUGAUUCUUUAUUUAACAGCCAAUGUUGAACAAUAUAUAAAUAAUAUUUUUGAAUAAGUGCACUUAAUGUUAUCUAUGAUAGCUGUUAGAAAAUAUUUUUCAUCUGAGCAUAUUUGGUUUUUGUUCCAUGUGACAAAUGAAAUAAUCAAUUUUUUCUAAUUUUCCCAUUUUAUUUUUUUAUCAUUUAAAUCUGUAUACUAGAGACUUCUGGAGCAAUAACAGUGACAGACUCUCUUUGACCCAAC
ensembl:lincRNA